rnacentral:rRNA from 1 species
GAUGAACGCUGGCGGCGUGCCUAAUACAUGCAAGUCGAGCGGUAAGGCUUUCACAGAUUAUUUGAACGGAUAAGUCUCUAGCAAUAGAGAUACUGUUUGAAGACAAUUUCUCCCGGCUAGGAGAAAUUGGUCGAAUAAUGUGUGAAAGUACACGAGCGGCGGACGGCUGAGUAACGCGUAGGAAUGUACCCCAAAGUGAGGAAUAACUGCCUGAAAAGGUAGCUAAUGCCGCAUAUGGUCCACGGAUUAAAGCCUUCGGGCGCUUUGGGAGCAGCCUGCGUAUGAUUAGAUAGUUGGUGAGGUAAAAGCUCACCAAGUCUACGAUCAUUAGCUGGUCUGAGAGGAUGAUCAGCCAGACUGGGACUGAGACACGGCCCAG